rnacentral:piRNA from 1 species
UCCAAUGCUAUAAAGGCCUUUAAAGGUCAGAA